UCUGACACAGGUGCUGCAUGGCUGUCGUCAGCUCGUGUCGUGAGAUGUUGGGUUAAGUCCCGUAACGAGCGCAACCCUUGUCCUUAGUUACCAGCACGUUAUGGUGGGCACUCUAAGGAGACUGCCGGUGGACAAACCGGAGGAAGGUGGGGGAUGACGUCAAGUCAUCAUGGCCCUUACGGCCUGGGCUACACACGUGCUACAAUGGUCGGUACAAAGGGUUGCCAAGCCGCGAGGUGGAGCUAAUCCCAUAAAACCGAUCGUAGUCCGGAUCGCAGUCUGCAACUCGACUGCGUGAAGUCGGAAUCGCUAGUAAUCGCGCAUCAGCCAUGGCGCGGUGAAUACGUUCCCGGGCCUU
rnacentral:rRNA from 1 species